rnacentral:rRNA from 1 species
UGGGGAAUAUUGCACAAUGGGCGCAAGCCUGAUGCAGCCAUGCCGCGUGUAUGAAGAAGGCCUUCGGGUUGUAAAGUACUUUCAGUCGGGAGGAAGGUGGUAAGGUUAAUAACCUUAUCAAUUGACGUUACCGACAGAAGAAGCACCGGCUAACUCCGUGCCAGCAGCCGCGGUAAUACGGAGGGUGCAAGCGUUAAUCGGAAUUACUGGGCGUAAAGCGCACGCAGGCGGUUUGUUAAGUCAGAUGUGAAAUCCUCGGGCUCAACCUGGGAACUGCAUCUGAUACUGGCAAGCUUGAGUCUCGUAGAGGGGGGUAGAAUUCCAGGUGUAGCGGUGAAAUGCGUAGAGAUCUGGAGGAAUACCGGUGGCGAAGGCGGCCCCCUGGACAAAGACUGACGCUCAGGUGCGAAAGCGUGGGGAGCAAACAGG